rnacentral:lncRNA from 1 species
CAGAAAUAAGAAAAACAAUGAAAUGGAAAAUGUACACCGUCCAUCAGCACUAUAACCAAUACUCUUGUAUGUGCAAUGGCCUAAACAUAAACAUUGACACUAGGUGUGUACUGUUGGUUUACUGUAGGACAUUAUAAACAUUGAUACUAGGUGUGUACUGUUGGUUUACUGUAGGACAUUAUAAACAUUGAUACUAGGUGUGUACUGCUGGUUUACUGUAGGACAUUAUAAACAUUGAUACUAGGUGUGUACUGUUGGUUUACUGUAGGACAUUAUAAACAUUGAUACUAGGUGUGUACUGUUGGUUUACUGUAGGACAUUAUAAACAUUGAUACUAGGUGUGUACUGUUGGUUUACUGUAGGACAUUAUAAGCUUUGAUGCUAGGUGUGUACUGUUGGUUUACUGUAG